rnacentral:lncRNA from 1 species
CUCACCUCCAUCCUGUGGUACAUACUCUAAGCUGUAAUGAACCCAGAGCUGCGAGGGACCUAAGUGUCACUACUAUGAACAGCCCUGGCAUGGGGUGAGGGGAGGAUAAAGCAAGAAGCACGGUAAAAUGGGAGGCAGUAGGAGCCAAAAUACUAGGCAGACAGCAAUUACAAAGCACUCCAGUCAGUGCCUCUUUAAUGUGAAGAAAAGAGUGUUGGAGCCUGAAACGUCCAUGAACUUUGGGCAGAAAGAGGAGCCUGAAGAACUUUUGGUGGCAAUAUCAAGUUCCUUUUGAGGAGGAGUGAGAUGAAAUCGUCAGUGACUGAAAGUAUUAAGAAGCAGGGUGAAGAAUAUGGAAAAAAUAAUUAUAUGGAAAGUAAAGGGAGUUAAGGAAAUCAGUAAAACGAGGAAGAAAGUUGCAGACAGGAAAAUGGACUGAAACCUACCUGAAAAGAUACUAUAUUUAUAUGUUUUUUCUGUCAUUUUCUCUGCGCAUUCAGGAUGUCUGAACAGUGUUACAGCAUGAUUGGUUUGCUGGUUAAAUAUAAAAAAAACACCUUUAUUUAUUUUCCCUACUGAUUAAAAUUCUGUUCUUAAAACUAUUGUUUUGCUGAUGGUGAGUAAAUGGGAAUAAGGAAUUAACACUACAGGUAUUAAGGUAUUUAUGUAAUGUGGGGUGAAAACUCAGGAUAUA